ensembl:lncRNA
CGGUCUACAAUUCCUGCCCCAUUGAGCAUUUGCCCAAAGGCUACCAACUUAAGGCAAUCACUAUUCAUGGACAACCUCCAGAGCUAACUGGGUUCGGGGCUAAUAUAGGUUUUCUGGAACAGCUUAAUGAAACACUCCCUGGCACACCUCAUUUGGAUCCUGUCUUCUGCCUCGAAGGAACAUGGACACCAAACCUCCACCCGAUUCUUUGAAGCCUGGCUCUAACCUACCUGCAAGAAGAAAACGAACAAUAUUUAGUAAAGCACAAAGAAAUAUUUUGAUCGACUACUUUCAAAAGGACAACUACCCUGGUAUAGAAGAAAGAGAACAACUUUCCAAGAUGAUCAAUGUUCCCGAAGACAGAAUACAGGUCUGGUUCCAAAACAGAAGAGCUAGAAGAUCAUUGAAUCCAAAACAGCUUCCAUCUCAACCUUCUACAAGCUUAGGUGAAAUUCAGGGAGAGGACCUCUCUGAAAAUGCUCUGUCAUCACCCAGUAUGUCUGGGUCUUCCUCCAGCACAGAUGAAGAGCCUAGUCAGGAAGUUGGCCAAAGGACUAGCUGCUCCCCAAAGAGAAAGAAGGUGGAUUCAGCCACUGAGGAUGCUUGCUCAAGUGCCCAAGGACAUUACUCUGAUUCCUCCCCAACCACAAAUGCCUCAACUGAACUUCAGCUUUGUACAAUGUCCCAAAGAAGUUCCAGUCAGUGUGCACCUUCCUCAGCUCUUCAGAGUACACCUGGGCCACAAAACUAUGGCCCACACACCUCUUAUGAGCCUAGUCAGGAAGCUGGUCAAAGGACUAGCUGCUCCCCAAAGAGAAAGAAGGUGGAUCCAGCCACUGAGGAUGCUUGCUCAAGUGCCCAAGGACAUUACUCUUAUUCCUCCCCAACCACAAAUGCCUCAACUGAACUUCAGCUUUGUACAAUGUCCCAAAGAAGUUCCAGUCAGUGUGCACCUUCCUCAGCUCUUCAGAGUACACCUGGGCCACAAAACUAUGGCCCACACACCUCCUAUUAUGGAGUGAACUCACUACCUCAUGGUCAAGAGCAAAACUGGACAAAUAGACAGAUUUAUUUAAAAUAUUACCUGUUGCCUUUUCAGCAUGCAGAAGAGCUCCCAUGUCAGCUGCAGCAAUAUGAACCUCAGCAGUCAGCAGCCCUGUUGCUCUUGGUGCCUCAACUCCCCACCUUCCAGACACAACACAUAACUCCAUCUCUGAAUCAAGCACCAGAAGAGCUUCAAGGCCAGCCAUGGCCACCUCCAUUGUUGAUAGGGGAAGAGCACCAACAAGAACUGAUUCUCAUUGAUCUAUCCAAGAGAACCAUUGGACUUGAGUCUCCAUGGUUGCUUCCUGAUGGAGAUCCAGCUGACUCCCUGGAGGCUGCCCCACAGGGCAAUCCGAACAUCCUACAGGAAUAUCAGACAUGUUCUGGAAUAUAUGACCAGAAGGAUGUCACCCAUUCACACUUUUGGAAACUGGAGAGAGAGGGUGAAACAACUGAAGAAAUGAAGAGAGGGGAAAAAACUGAUCCUCCCCUCUCUUCCCCUGGGGGAAGAUAG